rnacentral:rRNA from 1 species
CGCGUGAGUGAAGAAGGCUUCGGGUUGUAAAGCUCUUUCGGUUGGGAAGAAAUUGCCUGGGUUAAUACCUCAGGUAGAUGACGGUACCAGCAUAAGAAGCACCGGCUAACUACGUGCCAGCAGCCGCGGUAAUACGUAGGGUGCGAGCGUUAAUCGGAAUUACUGGGCGUAAAGCGUGCGCAGGCGGUUGUGUAAGUCAGAUGUGAAAUCCCCGGGCUCAACCUGGGAACUGCAUUUGAGACUGCACGGCUAGAGUGUGGCAGAGGGGGGUAGAAUUCCACGUGUAGCAGUGAAAUGCGUAGAGAUGUGGAGGAAUACCGAUGGCGAAGGCAGCCCCCUGGGCCAAUACUGACGCUCAUGCACGAAAGCGUGGGGAGCAACAGGAUUAGAUCCCUGGUAGUCCCGCCCUAACGAUGUCACUAGGUGUUGG